CAGAGCAGCGGCCAGCCGGCCGGACCCCCGCAGGAUCUGCCCUGCGGCCUGGAGGCCAAGAUGCAGAGUGGACACCGGUCCCCUGGGCCCCCGCAAUUCUUGGAGGUGCCGCAAACUCCUCGCCCCAGCCCGACCGGGAGCCUCCGGGAAAAAUUCCCCGACUACCUGAAGUCACUUGCUGAAAGCGGAAAAGGUGGAAUCGAUUCUGGACCAGCGAAUGUGAGUCUGAAGUGGGGAGUCCAGAACGGCGCCCCGCAGCCAGUACCCAGCCCCUUACUGUAAGCGAUGCCUGCCGCGGUCACAGCUUGGUAGUUGGAAUAAUAGUAUUAAAGCCUGUUGCCUAGCUAGCGCUGGGAUAAUUACAAGGUAAACAGAUCAGACGGAAUCUAAAUAGGGUAAACAGGAACACAGAGCAAUGACUGUGAAACAAAAUUAAUCAACAGUCCAAGAUAACAACCCUAACACAGUAGGGAACACAGUUCUGGGACGGCGGGAGGGAAAGAGGGAGGGAGGAGGCAGGGAGGGAAUUCUGUCAUUCCCCGGGUUCCUUCCUGGUGCAGCCUUGGUUUCCAAGUCUUGGCAAGUCACUGCCUCCCCAGCUCUGGACAGAUCACAAGGCUCUUGUAGGAGGAGGGCAGUGAGCCUUCACCCUCGGGCCUCUGGGACUGGACAGUGAGGAGCUGUACUGGACUCCGCCUACAUGCAGGGCGCUGUACUAGGCGCCUACUGCGUUUUGGAGGGGUUUCAUGGGGCAGGGAAAUAGUGUUCAAAAGGAGGCGGUGUUCUGUUCAGUCGUAUAGGGAAGACGCGCCCCGUUCCCCGCCCCCCACAUACAUAAACACACAUAGUGACGGGGUUGGGUGGGGGGGUCGGGGUGGCUCUGGGUGAGCCGGGGCCAAGGGCAGCGCGGCCCCAGCGCUCCUCCCUGGUCUGACCAUCCUUCUCCAUCUGCCCACCAGGUCGCGAGCAUAUGAUCUCCAUAAUGGUUGAACCCCUGGAUUUGAGAAAUGCCAUUUCCCCGGCCACCCCAUCCCACAUUCCAACCCCAUCCCAUCGGAAGCCCUCGAGUCUGGUCGUUAACCAGAGGAACGGAGAAGGAGGCGAAGUUAGAGUCCAGCCCAGUCAGCUGUGAAGAGACAACCCACAGCUGGAAACUGGGGACACCACCCCAUCACCCCAACAACGGGAACCUGAGGACACCGGCCCCUCCACCAUGCUGAACAUCGUCUGUGAGCAGAGCACUGUGUUCUCCUUAAUUCCCUCCCGCCUUGGGUCCUGAGACUCAAAGUCAGGACUUUGAGGAGUGACUUGUGCGCGAGGGGAAGGGGGAAAGGGCCCCAGACCUUUUACCUGCAUUUUACCUGGCCUGUCCCGGAGGUCCCUGGGUCCAAACUAUCCGGAGGCUUUGGUGCCAUCGUGUGAUCCGACGAAUUGGGAUGAAAGGAUUCCACUCCCGGUGGCGAAGAACAGAAACCUCCAUGAGGGCAGGGCUGACUCCCGAGAGGCACGAGGCCACCCAGGGAGUGACUGAUUCUCUGAGGGGUCCCCCGGAGGAGGGUCUGUAGCCCAUCCAAGAAAUGGAAAUUUGACUACUGACCAUCCGGGGGAGGCCACCCCCUGUGGAAGUUGCUUGGCCCCUGAGGUGGGGGACCGGUCCCCCUUGGGCCCGGUUGUUGUGACUGCGGAGACUGGCACAGGACUGGUGUCACCUGCGGGAGAGGAUUGGUGCUUCAGGUGCAAAACCAACACCCGGGCACCCUGCAAUCACUGCACAGACUGCAUUGGUGGCGGGUUCAGGACUAGCGCCCCUUUCACACUUACGGCUGUCACUCCUGAAGUCAGUGCCCAGCUCUCCCAGAACUCGGACUGUUCCUCCCCACCUCCCCGGCUCAGCUCUCUGAGCCCAGUGGGUGUCCCUCCCGUCCCGUGCCCACAGCGCUAACGCCCAUCCUGUGUCAGCGGUCACUGAGGUGUCCGUUACCUGUAGGGAAACCUCGAAGCAGGAGAGGGAUUUUGCCUCUUAAUUACUCUCUCGCCGUUCAAAGCCUUAUUGAAGGCGCAUCGCCUCCAGGAGACCUUUCUUGACUAAACCCUCCUUUCCU